GGACGAAAGUCUGACCGAGCAACGCCGCGUGAGCGAUGAAGGCCUUCGGGUCGUAAAGCUCUGUUGUCAGAGAAGAACAAGUACCGGAGUAACUGCCGGUACCUUGACGGUACCUGACCAGAAAAGCCACGGCUAACUACGUGCCAGCAGCCGCGGUAAUACGUAGGGUGGCAAGCGUUAUCCGGAAUUAUUGGGCGUAAAGCGCGCGCAGGCGGUUCCUUAAGUUCUGAUGUGAAAAGCCCACGGCUCAACCGUGGAGGGUCAUUGGAAACUGGGGAACUUUGAGUGCAGGAGAGAAAAGUGGAAUUCCACGUGUAGCGGGUGAAAUGCGUAGAGAUGUGGAGGAACACCAGUGGGCGGAAGGCGGCUUUUUGGCCUGUAACUGACGCUGAGGCGCGAAAGCGUGGGGAGCAAACAGGAUUAGAUACCCUGGUAGUCCACGCCGUAAACGAUGAGUGCUAGGUGUUGGGGGGUUCCACCCUCAGUGCUGACGUUAACACAUUAAGCACUCCGCCUGGGGAGUACGGCCGCAAGGCUGAAACUCAAAGGAAUUGACGGGGGCCCGCACAAGCAGUGGAGCAUGUGGUUUAAUUCGAAGCAACGCGAAGAACCUUACCAGGUCUUGACAUCCUCUGACCACUCUAGAGA
rnacentral:rRNA from 1 species